GCUUUGUGGGAACUAUGGUGUUGAACGCUGAGCUGUAGUCAAUGAACAGCAUUCCCACAUAGGUGUUCCUUUUGUCCAAGUGGGAAAGGGCAGUGUGGAGUGUGAUUGAGAUUGCGUCAUCUGUGGAUCUGUUGGGGCGGUAUGUGAAUUGUAGUGGGUCUAGGGUUUCCGGGAUGAUGAUGUUGAUGUGAGCCAUAUCCUGUUCAAAGGCACUUAAAUAUUUUGUCUUGCCCAUUCACCCUCAGAUUUGCACACAUACACAAUCCUUGUCUCAAUUGUCUUAAAAAAAACAUUUUUCCUCCCUUUCAUCUACACUGAUUGAAUUGUACUGUAUUUAACAAGUGACAUCAAUAAGGGAUCAAAGCAUUCACCUGGUCAGUCUAUGUCAUGGAAAGAGCAGGUGUUCUUAAUGUUUUGUUCACAGUGUAUAUGACUGAGACAUUAUUCUGAUUGUUCAGAUGCCAUGUCCUCCGCAACAUUUGCCCACACUUGCUGCAUGAGCCUGGUUUUUGCUCUCUGUGGUUUUCCUGUGCACAUGCUCCACAUCUACUUCUCCAUUCAAACACUCCCACUGUCUCUGUCACAUACACCCUACCUUGUGAAAUCAUACUUACAGUCUGAAACACUCUGUAUAAUUACAAUGUUCAUCCCUGAUAUGGCAGCUGGUUGUCUGUUUUUGGUCAUCGUCCUUCUAUAUACCUUUCAAUACAUCAAAGCCCAAGUUCAGAAACCAGUGAUUAGUACCAGUCAUAAUGAGGAGGAUUUCAUCAUCACCUGUUUGAUUCCUGGAAUUGCUGGUAACGACACCUGCUGUAACCUGUAUAUUGGAGAGAAGAAUAAGCCAUUCUUGAAAACACGGAUAUGGAAAAAGAAAACCCAAAAAACCAAGCAAUGGUACUGUACAUUCUCUGUGACCGAAGACGAUCUGAUCAGACAUCUACAGUCAGUGAGGAGUAAGGCGGUGAGCUGUGACUACAGAGUGAACUCAGGAACAAACUCUCUCUCUCCACGUAGUGAUGGAUACAGCUUUACAGAUCUGGUGGAAGUUCACAUCAGUGAUCCAACAACUAUUACAGCAGGAUUGACCUCUCCUUUGACCCCCAGCACAGCAGUGAAUCCUACGUCAGGUUGGACUGUUCUUUCUACUUUGACCACUGACACCGCAAAGAUUUCAACUGAAGGAGGUCAAAGCUACACAGAAAGUGAGGUUUUUUCAAACAGUCAAGAAAGCGUUCCAGCAUGUUCAACUGUUGCUUCUACUUUGACCCUUGACAUCACAGUGAGACCAACUACCAGUUUGACCUCUCCUUUGACCUCCAGCACAGCAGUGACUACUACAUCAGGUUCGACUGUUCGUUCAACUUUGACUACUGACACCACACUAAGUCCAACGGAAGGAAAAGGCUCCACAGAAAGUAUUCUGUCGGGGCAGGUUUGGCAGGCAGCAGUGGCUGUGGUUUCUGGAGUGGGUGUGUUCCUGGUGGGAUUGACUGCUUUCUGUCUCUGCAGGAGCACCAAGAAAAACAAUUCUCAGAGACCUACAGCCAGACAGGAUGAUGACAACCAAUAUGAUUUGGUGUUGGGAGCCAUGAGCAGUGCAGCCAUGAUGGAUUCUGGGGAAGCUGGGAUAUACAGUCUGAUCACCUCUGUACCAGCCACGUUUUUGCCCUCAGGUCCUGUGCAGGUAUCUGCACAUGAAGAUGUCGAUUCAGGGAAUACAGGGAUCUAUAGGCUGAUCACUGCACCACGCACAUCUAUACCUUCAGGCCCUAUUGAAGAGAAUGGACAGUCAUUUGAAAACUACACAACUGAUACGUACCACAUAUACUGCUCAAUCCCUGACAAACUAGCAAACUCAGCCCAGCCGGAUGGGUUGUACAGUCUUCUACAGGCACACUGA
ensembl:lncRNA